GACGAACGCUGGCGGCGUGCUUAACACAUGCAAGUCGAACGGAAAGGCCCUGCUUUUGUGGGGUGCUCGAGUGGCGAACGGGUGAGUAACACGUGAGUAACCUGCCCUUGACUUUGGGAUAACUUCAGGAAACUGGGGCUAAUACCGGAUAGGAGCUCCUGCUGCAUGGUGGGGGUUGGAAAGUUUCGGCGGUUGGGGAUGGACUCGCGGCUUAUCAGCUUGCUGGUGGGGUAGUGGCUUACCAAGGCUUUGACGGGUAGCCGGCCUGAGAGGGUGACCGGCCACAUUGGGACUGAGAGACGGCCCAGACUCCUACGGGAGGCAGCAGUGGGGAAUAUUGCACAAUGGGCGGAAGCCUGAUGAAGAAACGCCGCGUGCGGGAUGACGGCCUUCGGGUUGUAAACCGCUGUCGCCUGUGACGAAGCGUGAGUGACGGUAAUGGGUAAAGAAGCACCGGCUAACUACGUG
rnacentral:rRNA from 1 species